rnacentral:rRNA from 1 species
AUGCGGAGGAUGCGAGCGUUAUCCGGAUUUAUUGGGUUUAAAGGGUGCGUAGGCUGUGCGUUAAGUCAGGGGUGAAAUGCCGUCGCUCAACGACGGAGCUGCCCUUGAUACUGGCGUGCUGGAGUACGGAUGCCGUUGGAGGAAUGAGUGGUGUAGCGGCGAAAUGCUUAGAUAUCACUCAGAACACCGAUUGCGAAGGCAUCUGACGAAUCCGUCACUGACGCUGAGGCACGAAAGCGUGGGGAUAGAACAGGAUUAGAUACCCUGGUAUUCCACGCCGUAAACGAUGAUGACUAACCGUCGGCGAUAGACAGCCGGUGGCCAAGCGAAAGCGAUAAGUCAUCCACCUGGGGAGUACGUCGGCAACGAUGAAACUCAAAUGAAUUGACGGGG